GUUCUUGUAGUUGAAUAUUACAACGAUGGCUUUUCAAGUCAUUGGUUUAAGUUGAAGUCUUAAUGAGAAUG
rnacentral:tRNA from 2 species